AUUAAGAUCUUUCAUUCAGAUUUUGUAUUAUAAUUAGGAAGUUUAGGUUUCUACUUUUAGAAAUUUUAUUAGGAAGUAGUAUUUAAAUUUUUUAGGAAUUCUGGUGUUUGGAAUUUCCUAGUUAGUGUUAGUUUGAUAUUCCUAGUUAGAUGGUUUAGUAUUUUUUUUAUUUGGGAUUUCUAAUAGUAGUAGUAGUAGUAGUAGAAUUAGUUAUUAGUUUUUUAAUACCUAUGUAAUUUAGGUAUUCUUCCUAGAGAGCUUAUUAUGAUUAUUAUUGA
rnacentral:misc_RNA from 1 species